rnacentral:rRNA from 1 species
CUGCAUGGCUGUCGUCAGCUCGUGUCGUGAGAUGUUGGGUUAAGUCCCGUAACGAGCGCAACCCUUGUCCUUAGUUACCAGCACGUUAUGGUGGGCACUCUAAGGAGACUGCCGGUGACAAACCGAGGAAGGUGGGGAGUGACGUCAAGUCAUCAUGGCCCUUACGGCCUGGGCUACACACGUGCUACAAUGGUCGGUACAAAGGGUUGCCAAGCCGCGAGGUGGAGCUAAUCCCAUAAAACCGAUCGUAGUCCGGAUCGCAGUCUGCAGCUCGACUGCGUGAAGUCGGAAUCGCUAGUAAUCGUGAAUCAGAAUGUCACGGUGAAUACGUUCCCGGGCCUU